rnacentral:rRNA from 1 species
CCCUUAGAUGUUCUGGGCCGCACGCGCGCUACACUGAUGCAUUCAACGAGCCUAGCCUUGACCGAGAGGUCCGGGUAAUCUUUGAAACUGCAUCGCGAUGGGGCUAGAUUAUUGCAAUUAUUAAUCUUCAACGAGGAAUGCCUAGUAAGCGUGAUUCAUCAAAUCGCGUUGAUUACGUCCCUGCCCUUUGUACACACCGCCCGUCGCUCCUACCGAUUGAGUGUGUUGGUGAGGAGUUUGGAUUGGCCUCGGAAGGUGGUUCGCCACCGUCCGUAGCUGAGAAGUUCUCCAAACCGCCCCACUUAGAGGAAGGAGAAGUCGUAACA